rnacentral:rRNA from 1 species
GUGCCAGCAGCCGCGGUAAUUCCAGCUCCAAUAGCGUAUAUUAAAGUUGUUGCAGUUAAAAAGCUCGUAGUUGGAUCUCGGGUCCAGGCUUGUGGUCCGGCGCUGGCCGGUUACUACUCGUCCUGACCUACCUCCCGGUUUGCCCUUGGUGCUCUUGACUGAGUGUCUCGGGUGGCCGGAACGUUUACUUUGAAAAAAUUAGAGUGUUCAAAGCAGGCAAUUCGCCUGAAUAAUGGUGCAUGGAAUAAUGGAAUAGGACCUCGGUUCUAUUUUGCUGGUUUUCGGAGCUUGAGGUAAUGAUUGAGAGGGACUGACGGGGGCAUUCGUAUUACGGUGUUAGAGGUGAAAUUCUUGGAUCGCCGUAAGACGAACUACUGCGAAAGCAUUUGCCAAGAAUGUUUUCAUUA